GAACACCAAAUGAUUCUCAUCAAGAGUGCUUAAGAAUCAUUUUAAGAUUUUUCACCUAUUCCCUUUCUUUUAGCAUGCCUUCUAAACUGUUUUCUAAACUUCUUGCCUUUUGGAGUCACUUUUAACUUACCAUGUCUAAAAUAAAAUGUAUCCUCCACACCCCCCCCAUAUAGCUCUCAACCCCCAUAUUCCUGCAACCUAAGUACCUACCGUGUAAAAGCAGAAAUCUUUGAGCCAACGCCUUUUCAUUUUUCCUCAUUCUUCACAUCACACUGAUCAAUACAGCUCUUUGAUUCUACCUAAGAAAUGUCUCCAAAAAUCUCUUCCUCCUCACUUCAUUAUUCAGACUUUUCUUGAAUGUUACCACUUUAUGACUGUAACUCAGUAUCUGAACAUUGUUGCCAGAGUAAGCGUUUUAUUUAAAAAACACAUACUAGAAAAUGGGCUUCCCUGGUUACUGGGGUGGUAAAGAAUCUGCCUGUGAGGCAGGAGACCUGGAUUCGAUCCCUGGGUCAGGAAGAUCCCCUGAAAAAGGAAAUGAAAACCCACUCCAGUAAUCUUGCCUGGAGUAUUCCAUGGAAAGUGGAACCUGGUCGCAAAGAGUCAGACACGAUGGCAUAACUUACACUUAACUCUUGUGCUAGAAAAUGAAGUAACAUUUGAUUAAGGGCCAAGACUAUGCCAGACACCAUUCUAAGAAUUAUGCCUGCUUGAUUUAUUUACAUCUCACAUUAGCACUUUGCCUGUAUUAUCUCUGUUUUAUAGAUGAAAGGCAAGUGAGAAGAAACUUGCCUAAGUUUACAUACCUAAGAAGCAGCAGAGCUGGGAUUCAGCUCCAGGCACUGGAGCUCAUCACCAUUGCAGUGUACUGUAGUCUGGUUACGUUGUUCUCCAUCACGAAGGUCUUGGCUAUUUCUAGAUUGCCUACAAAACAAACUCUUGAGCAUGGCAUACAACUCGUUUCCGAUUAUUUCCACCUGUCAGCCUCUCCCUCUCAUUUACUACCUGCUGCACUGCACCCUACAGGCCUGCUAAUGUUGCAGUUGUCCAGCCAAGAGUCCAAAGAGCCAGAAAACAGGGAGACACGCUGGUGGUUUAUCCAAUGGGGAAUCUUACAGGGCUGAAACCAAAGGGCCCAGCAACAGCACUGACGGCUGAUGCUAAGGAGGGGGAGGAGUCUACCAUUGGUAGGGGGAAUUGACUUCCAAUUGGCUCAUAGUUACCAGGGAAACCAGCGACUGGGUUGGGGAAGAGGCGGGUGGGGGGCAAGUACCUAGACGGUUACUGUUGCUGCUGCUAAGUCACUUCAGUCGUGUCCAANNNNNNNNNNNNNNNNNNNNNNNNNNNNNCCAGGCUCCCCCGUCCCUGGGUUUCUCCAGGCAAGAAUACUGGAGUGGGUAGAUGGAAGCCUUACAAUUAAGAAGAACGGAGAGUCCGGUGAGUAAAGCAGGGCCUGGCUGAGCAGGGGAUGCACAGAGAGCAAGAGAAGAGCCAUCUAAAUGGCCUGACCAUACAUCACCACCCCCUUCUUUGUUCUGUGAGAUUUGCACUAUUUUCAUCCCUACUGAGUCCUCUCAGGCUCAACAACCCUGCUCCAUCUGCUCUGCUUAUCUGGCCUCUUUGCAGCUUCUUCCUACCCUCCAUCUGACCAGGCAAUGCUGACUCAUCCUUUCAAAAAUAAUUUCAAAUAUUACUGAUUCUGUAAAAAUGUUGCAGAUGCUUUCAGUAAAUAGCUCUUGGCUUAUUUUUUUUAUCAUCACUCUUUGAACUUUU
ensembl:lncRNA